UAGUGGCGAACGGGUGAGUAACACGUGGGCAAUCUGCCCUUCACUCUGGGACAAGCCCUGGAAACGGGGUCUAAUACCGGAUAGCACUUCCACGGGCAUCUGUGGGGGUUGAAAGCUCCGGCGGUGAAGGAUGGGCCCGCGGCCUAUCAGCUUGUUGGUGAGGUAAUGGCUCACCAAGGCGACGACGGGUAGCCGGCCUGAGAGGGCGACCGGCCACACUGGGACUGAGACACGGCCCAGACUCCUACGGGAGGCAGCAGUGGGGAAUAUUGCACAAUGGGCGCAAGCCUGAUGCAGCGACGCCGCGUGAGGGAUGACGGCCUUCGGGUUGUAAACCUCUUUCAGCAGGGAAGAAGCGAAAGUGACGGUACCUGCAGAAGAAGCGCCGGCUAACUACGUGCCAGC
rnacentral:rRNA from 1 species